UCCGUAGGCGGAUAAUUAAGUCAGAGGUGAAAUCCCACAGCUCAACUGUGGAACUGCCUUAGAUACUGGUUAUCUUGAGUUUAAGUGAAGUAGAUAGAAUGUGUAGUGUAGCGGUGAAAUGCAUAGAUAUUACACAGAAUACCGAUUGCGAAGGCAGUCUACUAACUAACAACUGACGCUAAUGGACGAAAGCGUGGGGAGCGAACAGGAUUAGAUACCCUGGUAGUC
rnacentral:rRNA from 1 species